CAUAUAACCUGUAAAUAAAAGGCUAUUAAAAUUAAAAUAAAUAAAUCAGCCCUCAAAAUUCACAGCUGUUACUAGCUUCUGUAAAUUCCAGACUGGGGCUCAGCCCAAUGACCACCUUCUAAAGCCACAGCCCAGUUGUCCUCUCACCACUCCAUUAUUUUUCUUGUCCUGAGGGGCUUAAUUUUUUGUUUUAAUUUUUCUCAGCACUGGUUGAUACCCCAGGUUUACCACCCAAGCUCUUUCCAACUGGCCUCUCUCAGAAUUUUCUUAUCCCAAGAGGUUUCAGAGUAGUGAGGAGGAAACAGGUUGCAGGAGAUCUUUUUUCCUCUUUUCUAGGGUCCAGUGACUUUUAAAAAUAAUUUGAUAAUUGCAUUUCAAUAUAAUUGGGUUUUUAAAAAUUCUGCCUAUUUUUAUUUUAUGCAUUUACAAACAAUAUCCUGAGAAGAAUAUUGGCUUCACCAGACAGCCUAAGAACUGAAGAAAUCUUGCUCCAAAGGAAGGUUGCAGGUGCAGGAUCCUAAGAAGAAUGUGGCUCGGGCUGGGAGAUCACAGCAGCUGUCAGCCCAGUCGGAGGUGCCGCCUCCAGUUUGACUAGACAUGAGGGACAAUGAAGGGAAAUAAUGAAUAAAAAAAUCUGGAAAGUCUGGCAAAGAAUAUGGACUUCUCAGAAAAAUGUUUUUGAAUGAAUAAAAUAAAAUAUGAAAGAUUACAAAGGAAACCAAAGGUUAGUGAAAAUAUUUUAUUUUUCCCAUUCAAGUUCAUGGACUUUCUGGACUCUAUCCACACCAGAUUAAGAACCCCUAUAUUACAUGGCAUUUCAUGGACUAAUCAUUUUCCAUAGGUGUCUUUUUUUAAGGGGGGAGGAAAUUGAGGGACAAGGAGAAUUGUAUUUAGUGACAAGAAAAUAUUGGUAAUUUUUUUUUGGUGAGCUUAUUUGGUAUCUCAACACUAUUGAAUUUAUAUAUAAUUUUAUGAACUUUAUGUUGAUUCUCUGUUUUUUUUAAUUAAGCCAUUAUAUUUUCUUCAGUCAGAGAUAUAUCAUAUUCCACUUUAUUAAUGCUAACAUUUCUAGAAUCAUAUAAAAUAUUGUAAAAUAAUAGCAAGACUAAAAUUGUUAUUUCAUCCCUUUCUUUAUUAGAGCAACUUCUGUUUCUCCCUCUACAAAUAAUUGUAGGUCUUAGUUUCAGAUAAAUGUUUAUAUGUUAAGGAAGAACCCUUGUGUUUCUGUACUUUUUGAUAUUUUUAAGCUUAAAUGA